rnacentral:rRNA from 1 species
UACGGAGGGUGCAAGCGUUGUUCGGAAUUACUGGGCGUAAAGGGCGCGUAGGUGGCUGUGUAAGUCGGGUGUGAAAUCCCCAGGCUCAACUUGGGAACUGCAUCCGAUACUGCAUGGCUAGAGUGCAGCAGAGGGAAACGGAAUUCCUGGUGUAGAGGUGAAAUUCGUAGAUAUCAGGAGGAACACCGGUGGCGAAGGCGGUUUCCUGGGCUGACACUGACACUGAGGCGCGAAAGCGUGGGUAGCAAAC